rnacentral:rRNA from 1 species
GAUGAACGCUGGCGGCGUGCCUAAUACAUGCAAGUCGAGCGAACGGACGAGAAGCUUGCUUUUCUGAUGUUAGCGGCGGACGGGUGAGUAACACGUGGAUAACCUACCUAUAAGACUGGGAUAACUUCGGGAAACCGGAGCUAAUACCGGAUAAUAUUUUGAACCGCAUGGUUCAAAAGUGAAAGACGGUCUUGCUGUCACUUAUAGAUGGAUCCGCGCUGCAUUAGCUAGUUGGUAAGGUAACGGCUUACCAAGGCAACGAUGCAUAGCCGACCUGAGAGGGUGAUCGGCCACACUGGAACUGAGCCACGGUCCAGACUCCUACGGGAGGCAGCAGUAGGGAAUCUUCCGCAGUGGGCGAAAGCCUGACGGAGCAACGCCGCGUGAGUGAUGAAGGUCUUCGGAUCGUAAAACUCUGUUAUUAGGGAAGAACAUAUGUGUAAGUAACUGUGCACAUCUUGACGGUACCUAAUCAGAAAGCCACGGCUAACUACGUG